UGGGGAAUAUUGGACAAUGGACCACAAGUCUGAUCCAGCAAUUCUGUGUGCACGAUGACGUUUUUCGGAAUGUAAAGUGCUUUCAGUCGGGAAGAAGUCAGUGACGGUACCGACAGAAGAAGCGACGGCUAAAUACGUGCCAGCAGCCGCGGUAAUACGUAUGUCGCAAGCGUUAUCCGGAUUUAUUGGGCGUAAAGCGCGUCUAGGCGGCAAGGAAAGUCUGAUGUGAAAAUGCGGAGCUCAACUCCGUAUGGCGUUGGAAACUGCCUUACUAGAGUACUGGAGAGGUAGGCGGAACUACAAGUGUAGAGGUGAAAUUCGUAGAUAUUUGUAGGAAUGCCGAUGGGGAAGCCAGCCUACUGGACAGAUACUGACGCUAAAGCGCGAAAGCGUGGGUAGCAAACAGGAUUAGAUACCCUGGUAGUCCACGCUGUAAACGAUGAUUACUAGGUGUUGGGGGUCAAACCUCAGCGCCCAAGCUAACGCGAUAAGUAAUCCGCCUGGGGAGUACGUACGCAAGGUU
rnacentral:rRNA from 1 species